rnacentral:rRNA from 1 species
GUAAGGAAUAUUGGACAAUGGUCGAAAGACUGAUCCAGCCAUGCCGCGUGCAGGAUGAAGGAGCUCAGCUCUGUAAACUGCUUUUGUUCGGGAAAAAACCCCUGCAUUCUUGCGGGGCUGAUUGUACUGAAAGAAUAAGGGACGGCUAACUUCGUGCCAGCAGCCGCGGUAAUACGAAGGUCCCAAGCGUUAUCCGGAUUUAUUGGGUUUAAAGGGUGCGUAGGCGGGUUAUUAAGUCAGUGGUGAAAGCUCCAUGCCUAACAUGGAAAUUGCCAUUGAUACUGAUGAUCUUGAGUACAUUUGAAGUGGGCGGAAUGUGUCAUGUAGCGGUGAAAUGCUUAGAUAUGACACAGAACACCGAUUGCGUAGGCAGCUCGCUAAACUGUAACUGACGCUGAGGCACGAAAGCGCGGGGAGCAAACAGGAUUAGAUACCCGGGUAGUCC